rnacentral:rRNA from 1 species
GUGUAUGAAGAAGGCCUUCGGGUUGUAAAGUACUUUCAGCGAGGAGGAAGGCAUUAAGGUUAAUAACCUUAGUGAUUGACGUUACUCGCAGAAGAAGCACCGGCUAACUCCGUGCCAGCAGCCGCGGUAAUA